UCUAGUAGCUGGUUCCCUCCGAAGUUUCCCUCAGGAUAGCUGGUGCAUUAUAAUAUUAUGUUAAAUAAUCUUAUCUGGUAAAGCGAAUGAUUAGAGGCCUUAGGGUCGAAACGACCUUAACCUAUUCUCAAACUUUAAAUGGGUAAGAACCUCACCUUUCUUGAUAUGAAGGUUGAGGUUAUGAUAUAAUGUGCCCAGUGGGCCACUUUUGGUAAGCAGAACUGGCGCUGUGGGAUGAACCAAACGUAAUGUUACGGUGCCUAAAUUAACAACUCAUGCAGAUACCAUGAAAGGCGUUGGUUGCUUAAAACAGCAGGACGGUGGACAUGGAAGUCGUAAUCCGCUAAGGAGUGUGUAACAACUCACCUGCCGAAGCAACUAGCCCUUAAAAUGGAUGGCGCUUAAGUUGUAUACCUAUACAUUACCGCUAAAGUAAAUGAUUUAUAAUACAAUUUCGAUUGAAUUAUUAAUUUUGAAACUUUAGUGAGUAGGAGGGUACAAUGGUGUGCUUAGAAGUGUUUGGCGUAAGCCUGCAUGGAGCCGCUAUUGGUACAGAUCUUGGUGGUAGUAGCAAAUAAUCGAAUGAGACCUUGGAGGACUGAAGUGGAGAAGGGUUUCGUGUGAACAGUGGUUGAUCACGAGUUAGUCGGUCCUAAGUUCAAGGCGAAAGCCGAAAAUUUUCAAGUUUUAAUGC
rnacentral:rRNA from 1 species